rnacentral:rRNA from 1 species
UGGGGAAUAUUGCACAAUGGGCGGAAGCCUGAUGCAGCAACGCCGCGUGCGGGAUGACGGCCUUCGGGUUGUAAACCGCUUUCGCCUGUGACGAAGCGUGAGUGACGGUAAUGGGUAAAGAAGCACCGGCUAACUACGUGCCAGCAGCCGCGGUGAUACGUAGGGUGCGAGCGUUGUCCGGAUUUAUUGGGCGUAAAGGGCUCGUAGGUGGUUGAUCGCGUCGGAAGUGUAAUCUUGGGGCUUAACCCUGAGCGUGCUUUCGAUACGGGUUGACUUGAGGAAGGUAGGGGAGAAUGGAAUUCCUGGUGGAGCGGUGGAAUGCGCAGAUAUCAGGAGGAACACCAGUGGCGAAGGCGGUUCUCUGGGCCUUUCCUGACGCUGAGGAGCGAAAGCGUGGGGAGCGAACAGGCUUAGAUACCCUGGUAGUCCACGCUGUAAACGGUGGGUACUAGGUGUGGGGUCCAUUCCACGGGUUCCGUGCCGUAGCUAACGCUUUAAGUACCCCGCCUGGGGAGUACGCCGCAAGGCUAAAACUCAAAGGAAUUGAC